rnacentral:rRNA from 1 species
ACUGCUCAGUAACACGUAACUAAUCUACCCUUAAGUCAAGGAUAAGCUCGGCAAACUGAGUCUAAAACUUGAUAGGGGAUUUACCCUGGAAUGAUUUAUCUCUUAAACUCGUGCUUAAGGAUGAGGUUGCGGUGGAUUAGGUUGUUGGCGGGGUAAUAGCCCACCAAGCCUGUGAUCUGUAAGGGCUCUUAGCGGAGAGGCCCUGAGAGGGAAUCUGAGACACUAUUCCCAGCCCCACGGGGUGCAGCAGUUAGGAAUAUUCUGCAAUGCGCGAAAGCGUGACAGAUUGAGCCAGAGUGUUUAUCUUCUUGAUAAGCUUUUGUGAAAUGUAAAAAGUUUUACGAAUAAGGACUGGGUAAGACUAGUGCCAGCCGCCGCGGUAAUACUAGCGGUCCAAGUCGCAGCCAUUUUUAUUGGGUCUAAAACAUCCGUAGCUUGCUUCUUAAGUUCCUUGUGAAAUUCUGUAUCUCAAAUACAGAGCGGGCAAGGAGUACUGGGAAGCUAGAGACUGGAAGACGUAAGAAGUACGCUCAAAGUAGCGGUUAAAUGUGUUAAUCUUGAGCGGACUAACAAUAGCGAAGGCAUCUUACGAGGACAGUUCUGACAGUAAGGGAUGAAGGCUAGGGGCGCAAAACGGAUUAGAUACCCGUGUAGUCCUAGCAGUAAACACUGCACACUAAACAUCAGUACCUCCUCGAGAGGUAUUGGUGCUGAAGAGAAGUCGAGAGUGUGCUACCUGGGAAGUAUAGUCGCAAGGCCGAAACUUAAAGGAAUUGGCGGGGGAGCAC